rnacentral:rRNA from 1 species
CAACUUUCAGCAAUGGAUCUCUUGGUUCUCGCAUCGAUGAAGAACGCAGUGAAAUGCGAUAACUGGUGUGAAUUGCAUCCAAGUAACUCUAAUUUACGAAUAACACCAAGUGAAUCAUCGAGUCUUUGAACGCAAUUGCGCCCUCUCGGUCGCUUCCAAUUGGGGGUUGACUCAUAGGGGGUACAUCUGUUCGAGGGUCAUUU